GACGAACGCUGGCGGCGUGCCUAAUACAUGCAAGUGGAACGCACUGAUGAAGCCGUAGCUUGCUACAAUUUCAUCAGUGAGUCGCGAACGGGUGAGUAACGCGUAGGUAACCUGCCUGGUAGCGGGGGAUAACUAUUGGAAACGAUAGCUAAUACCGCAUAAGACAUUUUACUGCAUGGUAAGAUGUUAAAAGAUGCAACUGCAUCACUACCAGAUGGACCUGCGUUGUAUUAGCUAGUUGGUGAGGUAACGGCUCACCAAGGCCACGAUACAUAGCCGACCUGAGAGGGUGAUCGGCCACACUGGGACUGAGACACGGCCCAGACUCCUACGGGAGGCAGCAGUAGGGAAUCUUCGGCAAUGGGGGGAACCCUGACCGAGCAACGCCGCGUGAGUGAAGAAGGUUUUCGGAUCGUAAAGCUCUGUUGUAAGAGAAGAACGCGUGUGAGAGUGGAAAGUUCACACAGGACGG
rnacentral:rRNA from 1 species